UAACCCCGCCCAAAUUCGACUGUGAGACCAAUAAAAUCACGGUGGGCGCUAUUAAACGUUUGACGUUGAACCCCGCCCCUGCAGCUGUAGCCAGGUUCUUCAGUGAAGUUGGCAUCGUUUGAUUGAAACUACUAACGUUAGAGAACAAACAAUUGGCAACAGACGAGCCGACGUCGCCACAACAAACAGCAAGUUAACAAUUCGUGCGAUGCUAAAUGAAACAACCAGCAGUGUUAACGUUAGCUUAGCUCGCGCAUUUUCCACUGUUGAUAAAAAUGGAGGCACGAGAUUUGUCAACAGCCGAAAUCAACAUGGCAACAAAUGCACUGGGGCAUUAUAUGACAUGGAUACUUCAUCCACAUGAAGGAAAAGACGGUUGACUUCGACAUCAAAUAAUAUAACGAUAGUGAAGAGAUGACAGAAAAUGAGGGAGAGGGCGAUGCAACAAAGGCCUGUGACCAGACUUGAAUCAGACGUUGGGGUUCAUGGACAACAUCUUAACCCAAAGAAAUUCUUCCUUGAAGGUUCCAUCAAGAUCUACAGUCAUGCCAAUCCAGUAAGACCCGUAAGUCCUGGAUAUCUGCACACAGAGACAGAAGAAUAUGCUUCACUGUUGAUAGUCACCAAGUCCCCAUGCCUCUGGUGGCAGAAGUUGCGAGCAUCUUCCAUGGCCAUCCACUUU